UACGAAGGGGGCUAGCGUUGCUCGGAAUCACUGGGCGUAAAGCGCACGUAGGCGGAUCGUUAAGUCAGGGGUGAAAUCCUGGAGCUCAACUCCAGAACUGCCUUUGAUACUGGCGAUCUUGAGUUCGGGAGAGGUGAGUGGAACUGCGAGUGUAGAGGUGAAAUUCGUAGAUAUUCGCAAGAACACCAGUGGCGAAGGCGGCUCACUGGCCCGAUACUGACGCUGAGGCACGAAAGCGUGGGGAUCAAACAGG
rnacentral:rRNA from 1 species